rnacentral:rRNA from 1 species
GAUGAACGCUGGCGGCGUGCCUAAUACAUGCAAGUCGAGAGAACGGACGAGAAGCUUGCUUUUCUGAUGUUAGCGGCGGACGGGUGAGUAACACGUGGAUAACCUACCUAUAAGACUGGGAUAACUUCGGGAAACCGGAGCUAAUACCGGAUAAUAUUUUGAACCGCAUGGUUCAAAAGUGAAAGACGGUCUUGCUGUCACUUAUAGAUGGUUCCGCGCUGCAUUAGCUAGUUGGUAAGGUAACGGCUUAACAAGGCAACGAUGCAUAGCCGACCUGAGAGGGUGAGCGGCCACACUGGAACUGAGACACGGUCCAGACUCCUACGGGAGGCAGCAGUAGGGAAUCUUCCGCAAUGGGCGAAAGCAUGACGGAGCAACGCCGCGUGAGUGAUGAAGGUCUUCGGAUCGUAAAACUCUGUUAUUAGGGAAGAACAUAUGUGUAAGUAACUGUGCACAUCUUGACGGUACCUAAUCAGAAAGCCACGGCUAACUACGUG